ACUGUAAUUGUACCACGUGCAGGGUUGUCUAGUAAAUAUCAUAAGUAUUUAUUUACGUUACAUAACGUAUUAUUCGUUCCCUACUACAUAUGAUUAACACCUCUUACCUUAUCAUACACACAAGCAGUGUAUAUUUUGAGUCACACCUACCCAACCCUGAUCUUGCGACAAGAUUUUCUAACCUCUAAAUUUGUUUAUAUUUCGUUCAAAGUCAAAAUUUUUUGUUCAGAUUUUAAUUGAAUUCUUAUAAAAUGACAACUGUUUCAUUAUUAUUAUCAGUAAAAAUACGUUUUUUAACAUAAUACUUCAUAAAUUAUAACAAAGAACAAUUUGUGAUUGGUGUAUUUUACAUGACCUCAAUGCGCAACCAAUCAGGAAAUCACUUUCAAUUGGAAAUCGGAAUAAAAAAUAUAAUUUUAAAAUAUAAAACUAAUAUAAAUUUCAGUUAUUAUUAAUUUCAAGAAUUGAUAAGUAUAAUUGUGUACUAAACAAGUAUUAAAAGAGGCAAAAAUUGCGGUUAUGAAGAGAAUCAAACAUUUAAAGGUUAGUUUUUGUGGUUUUUGUAAAUAAGCCACGUGGACGAUUGUUUAUUUUUUUAGAGUGUAAAAAAAAGAGUUGAAAUUUGAAAGAGAAGAAAUAUAAAAAAAUAGGUAAAAGGAAAGAAAAAAGGAAAAAAUCAUGAAAAUUGAUAUGAAACGAAAUAGAUUAAGUUUGUUUACUUUUUUAAUAUUCGUUGUAACGAGUAUUACUUUAUUUAUUUAUUUGAAUCGAGUGCAGCCUUAUUAUUUUAUCGAUGAAGUCUUUCAUAUUCCACAAACGCAACGGUAUUGUGAUGGCAAUUUUACUAGUUGGGAUCCAAAAAUUACAACACUUCCUGGCGUUUAUUUAAUAACGACUAUAUUUUUAGCACCAUUUGGAUUUUGCAAUGAAACAAUUUUCAUCCGUUCUACAAAUUUAAUUGCGACUUUCUUAAAUUUCUUCUUAAUUUCUAGUAUUUGUCGUUUAAAAAAUUCUCAAGAUUCGUUAAUUAAUCUCGUUAGUUCAUAUAAUAUUGUUCUUUUUCCGCCACUUUUUUUCUGGUUCUUUUUAUAUUAUACUGACGUUUUCUCCGUGACGAUGAUAUUGGCUGUGAAUUUAUUACACUUACAAGGCAGGAUUAAAUCCUCCGCACUAGCAGGUGUAGUUUCCGUUAUUGUGAGACAGACGAAUAUAAUUUGGGUCGCUUUAAUUGGUAUUGAGGAAGUUUUGAAUUUUCUUGAAUUGAAAGCUGAAAAAUCUCUUUCUGGCGAUGUACGUAAUUCAUCGAAACAUCUACAGUGGCUCUUGGAUACGAUAAAUGUUCAAGUUCGAAGGGGUCUAUUGUCAUUUUUAAAGUUCAGUAUGGAAAUUCUCUCAGCCUUGACUCCGUAUAUUAUAGUUGGAAUACUUUUCUUGGCUUUUAUAGUCUGGAAUGGCGAUAUCGUUGUUGGAGAUCGUACAGCUCACGUUCCAACGAUUCACGUGCCGCAGCUCUUUUAUUUUUUUGCUUUUACAUUUUGUUUUGCUUGGCCUUAUAUGUUAGCAUAUUUGAAAGCAUUUCUUUGCGAUUCACUGGAACAUUGGAUUGUGUCCAGUUUUAUUUUUUCCCUUCUCGUGGUGAUAAUUCAUUCGAAUACAUUGGUUCAUCCUUAUGUUUUGGCCGAUAAUCGACAUUAUGUUUUUUACGUGUGGAACUAUUUUAUGGGACGAUAUUCGUAUUUUAAAUAUUUACCGAUACCAUUCUAUUGUUUUUGUUUUUAUGCUUUUUUCAAGUGUUUGAAAAAUAUGCGUUUCUUGAGUCGAAUUUUAUUUUUCAUUUGCACUUGUGUUGUUUUAGUUCCACAAUUAUUACUCGAACCGAGAUAUUUUAUUAUUCCGUAUAUUAUUUUUCGAUUGAAUUUACAGAAUAUUCGUCCUUGGCAAAUUGCGCUCGAAACUCUGACAAUGUUUUUGAUUAAUUUUGUUCAAUUCUACAUUUUUGUUAGUAAAGUUUUUUACUGGAAGGAUCAGGAAUAUCCGCAGAGAAUUUCUUGGUUUUUUUUGCGUGAUAUGAAAUACACGAGCCGACAAUGUUUCUAAAAUUGAGGACUAGGGCCGAUUUUUGCAGGAACGGACUCGCAGCGUUAGGAACUCAAUCUCCUGCUUUUUAAAAUUCAGCUAUUGACCUAUGCGUACAUUGUUACGCGUUUCAAAUUAAAAGGAAGAGAGAACGAGUAUUUUUAAUUAGAUUGUGUUCCUGGAGUUGGUGUCGAAAAACCGCAAAGGCAAACUAAUCGAUUUGUAUAUAAAAGGGCGACCAAAUCAUUGGCUGUAUCAUCAACGUUGGACUGAUCCAGAUGCUGUACUACUUUUAAAAAUUUAGGAGUGCUACGAAAUUAUAAAAGCGUUGGAGUAUUUGGAAACUUAACAAAUUUCUACCUCUUGUUGGAAAAAAAGGAGUAGGAAUGGGCAUUGAGAAAAGUAACUGUGGCGAGAAAUUUAGUGAUUAUUUCAGGUAAUUACGCCCCUGGUGCGUGUAUAUGUCCGACGCGUGGAAGUGUCAGAUGCUCCGCAAAAGAGAACCAGAGUUCGGUGUACAACGAAGAGGCUGCUUUUUCUCUGGGUGUGUUUAUGUGUAUAUGUGUGUGUGUUUGUGUUUGUAUUCGAGAACGACCCUGUAGAAGUGGUAGGAAAAGAGAGAAGACACGACAGGACACGACGCGCGUCACGACGUGAACGUAGGUAUCGAGGAUUCGGGAAUUGCCGUGUGCACAACGAAGUAAGUCUUCCCUGGAGAGGGGAUGAAGUGUGGCCUCAGUGGGCUGAGUUGUCGAGCUCGAGGUGAAGAGAGUUAAGUGACCGAGUGACGAGAAGGAGAGAACGCGAAAAAGCAAGACUCGAGGGCGGCGACAUACACGAUCGCAAGUGCCAGGUUGGAAACAAUAGAAACAUUAGCCAGUGCCGUGCUCUUGGAAGCAAACCGGAAACAGUAAAAA